AAGGAUUUGAAGCUGGAAGCUGAUCUUCUUAUUUUGGGAGUGUUUGGGGAUUUGAUUGAUUGAUGGGUAUUUGACUGAUCAGAGGAUUCUUGAUAAGGAGAAAAUAAAAAACCCCACCAUGAUCUGAUCUUCUUGAUUGUUUGCUGUGUAUUAUAUACCACAAAGGGAGAGAUAGAGAGAUAAAGGGUGAGAGGAGAAAAGGAAAUAUUAAUGGUAAGAAGGUGAAAAACAACAAAGCCUCUUAUGUUCUAAACUCUAGCCACUAGGUCGUCUUCUAAUAACGUUUUUCUUAUGUUAGGUACAUUCAAUUUUAAAUUAAAACAGCAUCUAUGUAACCUUUAGGCCAUAUUGAUGUAUAUAAAACCUUAAAAUAAAGCUAGACAAUGUAAAUGGAUAUAUAUUGGGUAUUGAUUAGUGCUUAGCUAACCUAUACAGAGUACCCAAUCAACAAACUCUCCGAUGGUUUAUAUAAAUGUAUCAAUGAGCAGAAUUUGAACUAAUUAAGUGGUCCGAAACAAACGAUGGUUAUAUAGUGUAGAAUAGGAAAAGGAAACACAACAAAAGUUAAAUGGUA